GUGUCCUUUAGAACGAAAGUUUGCAAAAAAUUGUCUGAAAUCUUUUAUUGUUCUAUGGUUACCCAUCCUGAUUUUCGAUUAUUUGGUGAAUGUUAUUUUAUUUUUUUUAAAUGUUUAAAAAAGUUUUAUAGGGCAUGAAUAUUAAUGACGAUGAUGAUUUUAGCAGUGGACAAAUGCUGAAAAGUUUAUGCAAUCCUAGAAAGACUUCAUAUAUAUGGUUAAUGGUGAUGAAGAAGAAGGCUGAUAAAGUGAUUCAUAAUUGAGCUUCUCGUUUUGCCUCUACCCAACUUACGAUUAAUGGAUCAAGUACUUCUUUGAUGCAAAGACAUUCCCGCAAGGCGAGUUUAGUGUGGAGCUCAUGAGACAUGCAUUUUGACAAGAAGAAAGCUUCGACAUGCCAUGCCGGCGAUAAGGUGGCUCCAGAGAGAAUGUGCUUGUCUUUGUAUGGUCGGAUGAACAAAUUAUAUUUUUAAGUUUGGUGUGUCAUUUCUGAUAUAUAAUAUAUAAAUUUGAUUUAUCUUAA